rnacentral:tRNA from 1 species
CCCUGGGUGGUAUAAACAGUUAAAGCACUCAGCUGCUGACUGAAAGGUUGGCGGUUCAAGUCCACCCCCAGGCA